rnacentral:rRNA from 1 species
GACGAACGCUGGCGGCGUGCUUAACACAUGCAAGUCGAACGGAAAGGCCCUGCUUUUGUGGGGUGCUCGAGUGGCGAACGGGUGAGUAACACGUGAGUAACCUGCCCUUGACUUUGGGAUAACUUCAGGAAACUGGGGCUAAUACCGGAUAGGAGCUCCUGCUGCAUGGUGGGGGUUGGAAAGUUUCGGCGGUUGGGGAUGGACUCGCGGCUUAUCAGCUUGUUGGUGGGGUAGUGGCUUACCAAGGCUUUGACGGGUAGCCGGCCUUAGAGGGUGACCGGCCUCCUUGGGCCUGAGGUACGGCCCAGACUCCUAUGGGCGGCAGUAGUGGGGAACAUUGCACAAUGGGCGGAAGCCUGAUGCAGCAACGCCGCGUGCGGGAUGCCGGCCUUCGGGUUGUAAACCGCUUUCGCAUGUGACGAAGCGUGCGUGACGGUACUGAGUAAAGAAGCACCGGCUAACUACGUG